UAUCGUGCGCAAGUGUCAGUAUCAUAGCCAAUGAGGUUAAUCCGAGGCACGAUUAUUGCUAAUUGAAAACUUUUCCCAAGAAGAGAAGAUUUUUUUUUUCCUUGAAAGAAAUGUCAAAACUGCCAAGGUCCUUUUGGAA